UACGUAGGUGGCAAGCGUUGUCCGGAUUUACUGGGCGUAAAGAGCGCGCAGGCGGUCGUUCAAGUCGCGUGUGAAAGCCCCCGGCUCAACUGGGGAGGGUCACGCGAUACUGAUCGACUCGAAGGCAGGAGAGGGAAGUGGAAUUCCCGGUGUAGUGGUGAAAUGCGUAGAUAUCGGGAGGAACACCAGUGGCGAAGGCGACUCCUGGCCUGUUCUGACGCUGAGGCGCGAAAGCUAGGGGAGCAAACGGGG
rnacentral:rRNA from 1 species